GCUGGUGUGGCUCAACAGUAGAGCAGCUGACUUGUAAUCAGCAGGUUGUAGGUUCGAUUCCUAUCACCAGCUCCA
rnacentral:tRNA from 1 species